rnacentral:rRNA from 1 species
UACAGAGGGUGCUAGCGUUGUUCGGAAUUAUUGGGCGUAAAGGGCGCGUAGGCGGCCCUGUGUGUCGGGUGUGAAAGCCCACCUCUUAAAGGUGGAAUUGCAUUCGAAACUACAGGGCUGGAGUGUCGGAGAGGAUGGCGGAAUUCCUGGUGUAGAGGUGAAAUUCGUAGAUAUCAGGAAGAACACCCGUGGCGAAGGCGGCUCUCUGCCUGUAACUGACGCUGAGGCGCGAAAGCGUGGGGAGCAAACAG